rnacentral:rRNA from 1 species
UACGGAGGAUGCGAGCGUUAUCCGGAUUUAUUGGGUUUAAAGGGCGCGUAGGCGGGAUGGCAAGUCAGAUGUGAAAUCCAGGGGCUCAACCCCUGAACUGCAUUUGAAACUGUCGUUCUUGAGUACUGGAGAGGUUGACGGAAUUCCUAGUGUAGCGGUGAAAUGCGUAGAUAUUAGGAGGAACACCAGUGGCGAAGGCGGUCAACUGGACAGCAACUGACGCUGAGGCGCGAAAGCGUGGGGAGCAAGCAGG